AAAGGGUUGUUGGAUAUACUUAUAUGGAAGACGACGCUGCUGUUUGCGAUUAUAAUCUUCUUCCAACGUGGUAUCGUAUGUGUGGUUUUGUACUUUCGUCGCACCAGCAAGGUUGUGGGACAAAUUUCAACUGGUAUACAAUCGACACAUUACCGACAAGCGGUUCAAAGGAGCUACAGAUGUGCAUCACGGGGCAAAACAUGACUGCAUGAGAAGAGACAAAUACAGCAACAGCCGAAAAAUGCCCGGAUGGAAACUACACUUUCUUUCUGUCAGAUCUCGCGGCCUGUCCUGAGGCCUAUUGCAUAGAGCCACUGGACGAGAACACUGACACAUCCCUAGCCUGUGUUUCAUAUCCAAAUGGAACUUUUGGCUGAUUUUGUGAUGACGAUGUGCCGUGCUCUUUUGCCCAUUCCACGUGUCAGCUCUACAAGUGUGAAUGUUUGUCUGGAUACUAUUAUAAUGUUGAUCGAUGUAUACAAGGUAUACAAGGAAAAAAAUGAUGCAUAGCAUCAAGUCGGCGCAGUAAAAUCAGAAGAAAAACGUGCAUGUAGAUAACCAAAAAAGAUGGUGAAGUUGGUGGAAAGUGUUUUGCGGACGGUUCUUGUAACGGGGAAGCUAUCUGCGCUGGGUACUUCUGCGAAUGUGGAGAUGGAACGACUCAAGUAAAUAAUUUGUGUUUAACAGGUGAACUAACAGGAGCAAACUGUCUUGAAAAUGACAUAUGUGAAGACGAAUACGCGUUUUGCCGGAUACAUGAGCAGUGCCAGGGGCGACGCUGUACCUCAGCAUGCGUGUGUAAUCCCGGUUACAAAAUAAAUGAGAACGGACAGUGUGAAGAAGCUCCAGAAGACAAUUCCGACGACGGAAACAACAGUUGGUUGCUGGUAGCAAUAAUUGUACCGACCAUAAUUUUACUGAUUGCCGUUGCAGUUGGAUUGACUGUAAUCAUCAAG